GAUGAGAUGUGCUCUUUUUGGAGAUCAGAUACAUGCAUAUGAAGAUGUUCUAAAACCAACUGGCCAAUAUGAAAUUUCAAAGGCUCCUAUAACUUAUAUGGAUGAGCAAUAUAAGAUUAACCUUGAAGAACUUCCAUAUCAGAUGACUAUUGGACAACAAACUAUCAUUCAGCGUUUGAAUCCAGAAGCUGGUCCGAUUGAGCCUAAAUAUCAGCCCACUGUCAACUCUUCCAAGAUCGCCUGAUCCCAACGGCAGAUUUGAUAUUGUCGCUGUCGUUUUGUUUGUUGAAGAUGCACCGCGAAUGAUAUCUAAUAUUCGUGGGCGUGACAGUCCAGUUCGUGAAAUCUCUGUUACUGACACAAGCCAAGACCAUGCCAUGACAAUUUCAGCAUGGAAUGAUCUCACGGGUAAACCCUGUGAUGCACUGAGUAACUGGACUGAGAAGUUUCAUGUUGUUGGCUUUACUGCACUGAAAACCCGCCACACAAGAGGUAACAUUAGUACAUGUGCUUGAACAAUUGUACUUUGACUAAAAAAAGCUUGGAUGAAAUAAUUAUUGUACUUUAAUGCAGGAUUUGGUUUAAACACUACUAUGUCAACUAGAAUAAUUAUGAAUCCUAAAGGAGAGAGAGCAGACAUGCUUCGCGAAUGGGUCAAAUUAUAUCAUCAUGUCUUGCUGGACAGACAGGAAAGGAUCUUGAAUGUUAGGUACCCAAGUGUUGAGAAAAAAAUUGUGACUAUAGCUGAACUGAGGAGC